rnacentral:rRNA from 1 species
GAUGAACGCUGGCGGCGUGCCUAAUACAUGCAAGUCGAGCGAACGGACGAGAAGCUUGCUUUUCUGAUGUUAGCGGCGGACGGGUGAGUAACACGUGGAUAACCUACCUAUAAGACUGGGAUAACUUCGGGAAACCGGAGCUAAUACCGGAUAAUAUUUUGAACCGCAUGGUUCAAAAGUGAAAGACGGUCUUGCUGUCACUUAUAGAUGGUUCCGCGCUGCAUUAGCUAGUUGGUAAGGUAACGGCUUACCAAGGCAACGAUGCAUAGCCGACCUGAGAGGGUGAUCAGCCACACUGGAACUGAGACACGGUCCAGACUCCUACGGGAGGCAGCAGUAGGGAAUCUUCCGCAGUGGGCGAAAGCCUGACGGAGCAACGCCGCGUGAGUGAUGAAGGUCUUCGGAUCGUAAAACUCUGUUAUUAGGGAAGAACAUAUGUGUAAGUAACUGUGCACAUCUUGACGGUACCUAAUCAGAAAGCAACGGCUAACUACGUG